GCUCAGGACGAACGCUGGCGGCGUGCCUAAUACAUGCAAGUCGAGCGAAUCGAUGGGAGCUUGCUCCCUGAGAUUAGCGGCGGACGGGUGAGUAACACGUGGGCAACCUGCCUAUAAGACUGGGAUAACUUCGGGAAACCGGAGCUAAUACCGGAUACGUUCUUUUCUCGCAUGAGAGAAGAUGGAAAGACGGUUUACGCUGUCACUUAUAGAUGGGCCCGCGGCGCAUUAGCUAGUUGGUGAGGUAAUGGCUCACCAAGGCGACGAUGCGUAGCCGACCUGAGAGGGUGAUCGGCCACACUGGGACUGAGACACGGCCCAGACUCCUACGGGAGGCAGCAGUAGGGAAUCUUCCGCAAUGGACGAAAGUCUGACGGAGCAACGCCGCGUGAACGAAGAAGGCCUUCGGGUCGUAAAGUUCUGUUGUUAGGGAAGAACAAGUACCAGAGUAACUG
rnacentral:rRNA from 4 species